AUUGAACGCUGGCGGCAGGCCUAACACAUGCAAGUCGAGCGGAGCGGCGGACGGGUGAGUAAUGCCUAGGAAUCUGCAUGGUAGUGGUGGCUAACGUCAGGUAACGGGCGCUAAUACUGCAUACUAUCAGAUGAGACUAGGUCGGAUUAGCUAGUUGGAGGGGUAAAGGCAUACCAAGGCGCAGAUCCGUAACUGGUCUGGGAGGAUGAUCAGUCACACUGGAACUGAGACACGGUCCAGACUCCUACGGGAGGCAGCAGUGGGGAAUAUUGGACAAUGGGCGAAAGCAUGAUCCAGCCAUGCCGCGUGUGUGAAUAAGGUCGUCGGAUUGUAAAGCACUUUUAGUUGGGAGGCGUUACCCACAGAAUAAGCACCGGCUAACUUCGUGCCAGCAGCCGCGGUAAUAC
rnacentral:rRNA from 1 species